rnacentral:lncRNA from 1 species
CCGACCCUACGUUUUGAAGCAGGCGGCCGCUCGCCGAGCGCAGAUGGAGCAGAACUCCACCGACACCUGAUCCCGCUCCACGUGCAGGCAGAUCCCGCCGGGAGCCGCCCAACGCUCCUCGGGCUCCGCGCCCGGCGGCUGUUCGGGGCCGGGCGGCCGCGCGUUGGGCAGCGCGUAGUCGUGGUCGCCGCUAUCGCCGCCGGGCCGGCCGGGCGGCUGCUGCUGCUGGUGCUGCUGCUGGCGGCGGCCGUCCCUGAAGAGGCUGGUGCCCAGGCGCAGCCCGCCGGCCCGCGUCCCGGCCAGGCGGCUCAGGAGCUGCCCCAGCGCGCUCUGGUUGGCCAGCACGGCCCGCAGGUAGCCGCUCUCCCGCUCCAGCUCCCGCAGGCGGCGGUUGAGGCCGCGGUUGCGGUCCCGCAGCUGCCGGUUCUCGGCGGCCAGGCCCUGCAGGCGGCUCUCCAGCCCCAGCACGUACUGCUUCUUCUUCAGCCGGUUCAGCCGCGCCGCCGCCGCCGCCUUCAGCCUGCUGCCGGCCCCGCCGCUCCGCCGCCUGCGGCCCCGCCCCGCUUCUCCGCAGAAACAGCCGCUCAGCUCCGCGCCCGCGUCCCAUUCCGGCCUGGCCGCCUCCAGCAGGUCUCCCAGCUCCAGCCCGGGGAACCAGUCCUCUUGUUCCCACACCUCAGGCGGGCCUUCGGCCGCCUCUUUCUCCUGUUGCUGUUGUUUGGGCCUCGCCGCUCCCGGAUCCCCUUCCCCGCCGCCAUCCCGCCCUCUCGGGGCCUGCCCCGCGCCGGCGAGAGGCCACGCGGCUCCCGAAGGGCUCGCUCCGCCCGAGGAAGCCGCCAGCAGUUGGGUGAGGCUGUGCCGCAUGGCGGCGGCGGAGGGAGGAGGGGGGAGAAGGCGGCGGCCGCGGGGCCCGGGGAGAGCGGCGCGGAGCGGCGGUGCCGCGGUGCAUGUCGGGAAGCGGCGGACGUGAGGGGAUGGGGGGGAGGAGGGGGGGAAGGAAUGGCUGAGGGCUGCGCCCGCGCGCGGGAAAAGCGCGUCUGUGGGGGAGUUUAA